rnacentral:rRNA from 1 species
GACGAACGCUGGCGGCGUGCUUAACACAUGCAAGUCGAACGAUGAAACCUAGCUUGCUAGGUCGAUUAGUGGCGAACGGGUGAGUAACACGUGACUAACCUGCCCCUUUCUCCGGGAUAACGCUCCGAAAGGCGUGCUAAUACCGGAUACUCACACCGAGGCACAUGCCUUGGUGUGGAAAGUUUGUCGGAAAGGGAUGGAGUCGCGGCCUAUCAGCUUGUUGGUGAGGUAACGGCUCACCAAGGCGACGACGGGUAGCCGGCCUGAGAGGGCGACCGGCCACACUGGGACUGAGACACGGCCCAGACUCCUACGGGAGGCAGCAGUGGGGAAUAUUGCACAAUGGGCGCAAGCCUGAUGCAGCGACGCCGCGUGAGGGAUGAAGGUCUUCGGAUUGUAAACCUCUUUCAGUAGGGACGAAGCGAAAGUGACGGUACCUAAAGAAGAAGCACCGGCUAACUACGUGCCAGCAGCCGCAGUAA